GUGAGGAAUAUUGCGCAAUGGAGGCAACUCUGACGCAGCCAUGCCGCGUGCAGGAAGAAGGCGCUACGCGUUGUAAACUGCUUUUAACCGGGAAGAAACCCCAGGACGUGUCCUGGGUUGACGGUACCGGAGGAAUAAGCACCGGCUAACUUCGUGCCAGCAGCCGCGGUAAUACGAAGGGUGCAAGCGUUAUCCGGAUUCAUUGGGUUUAAAGGGUGCGUAGGCGGAGCGUUAAGUCAGUGGUGAAAUCCUGCAGCUUAACUGUAGACUUGCCAGUGAUACUGGCGCGCUUGAGUGCGCUUGAAGUGGGCGGAAUGUGCCGUGUAGCGGUGAAAUGCUUAGAUAUGGCACAGAACACCAAUUGCGAAGGCAGCUCACUAAGGCGAUACUGACGCUGAGGCACGAAAGCGUGGGGAUCGAACAGGAUUAGAAACCCGUGUAGUCC
rnacentral:rRNA from 1 species